rnacentral:rRNA from 1 species
UAGGGAAUCUUCGGCAAUGGACGAAAGUCUGACCGAGCAACGCCGCGUGAGUGAAGAAGGUUUUCGGAUCGUAAAACUCUGUUGUUAGAGAAGAACAAGGACGUUAGUAACUGAACGUCCCCUGACGGUAUCUAACCAGAAAGCCACGGCUAACUACGUGCCAGCAGCCGCGGUAAUACGUAGGUGGCAAGCGUUGUCCGGAUUUAUUGGGCGUAAAGCGAGCGCAGGCGGUUUCUUAAGUCUGAUGUGAAAGCCCCCGGCUCAACCGGGGAGGGUCAUUGGAAGCUGGGAGACUUGAGUGCAGAAGAGGAGAGUGGAAUUCCAUGUGUAGCGGUGAAAUGCGUAGAUAUAUGGAGGAACACCAGUGGCGAAGGCGGCUCUCUGGUCUGUAACUGACACUGAGGCUCGAAAGCGUGGGGAGCAAACAGG